AUUGAACGCUGGCGGCAGGCCUAACACAUGCAAGUCGAGCGGAUGACGGGAGCUUGCUCCUUGAUUCAGCGGCGGACGGGUGAGUAAUGCCUAGGAAUCUGCCUGGUAGUGGGGGACAACGUUUCGAAAGGAACGCUAAUACCGCAUACGUCCUACGGGAGAAAGCAGGGGACCUUCGGGCCUUGCGCUAUCAGAUGAGCCUAGGUCGGAUUAGCUAGGUGGUGGGGUAAUGGCUCACCAAGGCGACGAUCCGUAACUGGUCUGAGAGGAUGAUCAGUCACACGGGAAAUGAGACACGGUCCAGACUCCUACGGGAGGCAGCAGUGGGGAAUAUUGGACAAUGGGCGAAAGCCUGAUCCAGCCAUGCCGCGUGUGUGAAGAAGGUCUUCGGAUUGUAAAGCACUUUAAGUUGGGAGGAAGGGCAGUAAGCUAAUACCUUGCUGUUUUGACGUUACCGACAGAAUAAGCACCGGCUAACUCUGUGCCAGCCGCCGCGGUAA
rnacentral:rRNA from 1 species